UACGUAGGGGGCAAGCGUUGUCCGGAUUUACUGGGCGUAAAGCGUGCGCAGGCGGUUUUGUAAGCCAGAUGUGAAAUCCCCGGGCUUAACCUGGGAAUGGCAUUUGGGACUGCAAGGCUCGAGUGCGGCAGAGGAGACUGGAAUUCCUGGUGUAGCAGUGAAAUGCGUAGAUAUCGUAAGGAAGACCAGUGGCGAAGGCGGGUCUCUGGACAGUUCCUGACGCUGAGGCACGAAGGUCAGGGGAGCAAACGGG
rnacentral:rRNA from 1 species